CCAGUGCACACUUGCAUUCCUCACAGAGUGAGAAGCCGAUAACCCUCUUCACUAUGUAUCCUGCCAGGUGGUAGAGGACACAGGACUCGGUCUUUGUCAUGUUGGGUGGUGAUGGGUCUACCAGCUGCUUCACUCUCACAACCUCAGAAGCACUGCAGCUGCUGUUCUGGGUGUCCAGGAAGUCCGCCAAGUGGUCUGAUGCAUCAUCCAGAUCUUGCUGGACCUCCAGAAUUGUUGUUGUGGCCAUCACCAGUCCAGUCUGGACUGGUUUCCAGCUGCCCUGGGGACCGAUCUUCAGGCCCGGAAAAAGAUGGAUCGAGUUGCGGAGGAAGCUGAUGGCCUUUUCAUACUCUUCCAUCUUGAAAUGACUGAGGGCACAAACAACAUUGCGGGAUGACAUGAGGUCAAACCAGUGGUCCAUCUUCUCCAAAAACCAUGACGUUGUAAGGCUCCAGGACACCUCUGGACAGAUUGGGUGCCAGCUUAAGUGCCAUGCCCUCCUGGAAGGACACCAGAUCCUUUUAAGGGGGCAGCAGAGACUUCACUCGAUGCCAGCUGCUCCUUUUCCACCACAUCCUGUGGUAUGGUGAUGAUGUGACCACGGACAAUGGCACUCUUCAAGUUCUUGACGAGAUGAGGAACGUCAGGCAUGAAAUGGAGGCGCUGGCUUGGCUCAACAGGAUGCUGGAUCCAUGGCUUGUCGUAGGUCACCCCAAAGGACUUCCACAUUGCUCUAUUGGGGCUCCCCAUGUUUGUGGUGAUGUUCAGUACAUGAAGCCCUACAGAUGCCGCUGCUUCAACAAUGUUGAUUAUGAUGGGCCGGUAAACUGCUCCAUUGGUGGAAUUGCCACUAUAGUGGUAAGCCACAACUUGUUUCCACCGUGUUGUAGCUCCAGCCAGCAUAAACACCAGUGCAUGUGUCGCUUGACCUUUGUGCUCAGGCAGUGUGACAUUUCCAAAUAGCCUCCCCGUUCCCAAAUGGAGCUCCACGCCUGGAGUAAUGGACAUCUCAUCUAAGCGUCCGGAUGUUGGGCAGCGGAAUAUGCAUUCGCUGGAGGGUUUUGUAACCAGUGGUGCCAGCAGUAAAUUUAACCUGUAUGGCUUUUUUAAUUGUUUCCUUUCCCCACCGUAUUUGUCUAUUUUCCUGUCCAAGGGCUCUAAUUUGGUCGGAAUUAAACACUCGUUUUAAAUUCUUGUUGACUGAAUUGUUUCUCUUUCUUAGUGCCAAAUUGAUUCUUUUUUGUUUUACAAGAGCCCUCUCUGCUCUCCUUCUCAAUAAUUGUUCCUUCUCUAG
ensembl:lncRNA